rnacentral:rRNA from 1 species
AGGUGAUAUGAACCGUUAUAACCGGCGAUUUCCGAAUGGGGAAACCCAGUGUGAUUCGUCACACUAUCAUUAACUGAAUCCAUAGGUUAAUGAGGCGAACCGGGGGAACUGAAACAUCUAAGUACCCCGAGGAAAAGAAAUCAACCGAGAUUCCCCCAGUAGCGGCGAGCGAACGGGGAGSAGCCCAGAGCCUGAAUCAGUGUGUGUGUUAGUGGAAGCGUCUGGAAARGCGUGCGAUACAGGGUGACAGCCCCGUACACAAAAAUGCACAUACUGUGAGCUCGAUGAGUAGGGCGGGACACGUGGUAUCCUGUCUGAAUAUGGGGGGACCAUCCUCCAAGGCUAAAUACUCCUGACUGACCGAUAGUGAACCAGUACCGUGAGGGAAAGGCGAAAAGAACCCCGGCGAGGGGAGUGAAAAAGAACCUGAAACCGUGUACGUACAAGCAGUGGGAGCCUCUUAAUGGGGUGACUGCGUACCUUUUGUAUAAUGGGUCAGCGACUUAUAUUCUGUAGCAAGGUUAACCGAAUAGGGGAGCCGAAGGGAAACCGAGUCUUAACUGGGCGUUAAGUUGCAGGGUAUAGACCCGAAACCCGGUGAUCUAGCCAUGGGCAGGUUGAAGGUUGGGUAACACUAACUGGAGGACCGAACCGACUAAUGUUGAAAAAUUAGCGGAUGACUUGUGGCUGGGGGUGAAAGGCCAAUCAAACCGGGAGAUAGCUGGUUCUCCCCGAAAGCUAUUUAGGUAGCGCCUCGUGAAUUCAUCUCCGGGGGUAGAGCACUGUUUCGGCAAGGGGGUCAUCCCGACUUACCAACCCGAUGCAAACUGCGAAUACCGGAGAAUGUUAUCACGGGAGACACACGGCGGGUGCUAACGUCCGUCGUGAAGAGGGAAACAACCCAGACCGCCAGCUAAGGUCCCAAAGUCAUGGUUAAGUGGGAAACGAUGUGGGAAGGCCCAGACAGCCAGGAUGUUGGCUUAGAAGCAGCCAUCAUUUAAAGAAAGCGUAAUAGCUCACUGGUCGAGUCGGCCUGCGCGGAAGAUGUAACGGGGCUAAACCAUGCACCGAAGCUGCGGCAGCGACACUAUGUGUUGUUGGGUAGGGGAGCGUUCUGUAAGCCUGUGAAGGUGUACUGUGAGGUAUGCUGGAGGUAUCAGAAGUGCGAAUGCUGACAUAAGUAACGAUAAAGCGGGUGAAAAGCCCGCUCGCCGGAAGACCAAGGGUUCCUGUCCAACGUUAAUCGGGGCAGGGUGAGUCGACCCCUAAGGCGAGGCCGAAAGGCGUAGUCGAUGGGAAACAGGUUAAUAUUCCUGUACUUGGUGUUACUGCGAAGGGGGGACGGAGAAGGCUAUGUUGGCCGGGCGACGGUUGUCCCGGUUUAAGCGUGUAGGCUGGUUUUCCAGGCAAAUCCGGAAAAUCAAGGCUGAGGCGUGAUGACGAGGCACUACGGUGCUGAAGCAACAAAUGCCCUGCUUCCAGGAAAAGCCUCUAAGCAUCAGGUAACAUCAAAUCGUACCCCAAACCGACACAGGUGGUCAGGUAGAGAAUACCAAGGCGCUUGAGAGAACUCGGGUGAAGGAACUAGGCAAAAUGGUGCCGUAACUUCGGGAGAAGGCACGCUGAUAUGUAGGUGAAGUCCCUCGCGGAUGGAGCUGAAAUCAGUCGAAGAUACCAGCUGGCUGCAACUGUUUAUUAAAAACACAGCACUGUGCAAACACGAAAGUGGACGUAUACGGUGUGACGCCUGCCCGGUGCCGGAAGGUUAAUUGAUGGGGUUAGCGGUAACGCGAAGCUCUUGAUCGAAGCCCCGGUAAACGGCGGCCGUAACUAUAACGGUCCUAAGGUAGCGAAAUUCCUUGUCGGGUAAGUUCCGACCUGCACGAAUGGCGUAAUGAUGGCCAGGCUGUCUCCACCCGAGACUCAGUGAAAUUGAACUCGCUGUGAAGAUGCAGUGUACCCGCGGCAAGACGGAAAGACCCCGUGAACCUUUACUAUAGCUUGACACUGAACAUUGAGCCUUGAUGUGUAGGAUAGGUGGGAGGCUUUGAAGUGUGGACGCCAGUCUGCAUGGAGCCGGCCUUGAAAUACCACCCUUUAAUGUUUGAUGUUCUAACGUUGGCCCCUGACCGGGGUUGCGGACAGUGUCUGGUGGGUAGUUUGACUGGGGCGGUCUCCUCCUAAAGAGUAACGGAGGAGCACGAAGGUUGGCUAAUCCUGGUCGGACAUCAGGAGGUUAGUGCAAUGGCAUAAGCCAGCUUGACUGCGAGCGUGACGGCGCGAGCAGGUGCGAAAGCAGGUCAUAGUGAUCCGGUGGUUCUGAAUGGAAGGGCCAUCGCUCAACGGAUAAAAGGUACUCCGGGGAUAACAGGCUGAUACCGCCCAAGAGUUCAUAUCGACGGCGGUGUUUGGCACCUCGAUGUCGGCUCAUCACAUCCUGGGGCUGAAGUAGGUCCCAAGGGUAUGGCUGUUCGCCAUUUAAAGUGGUACGCGAGCUGGGUUUAGAACGUCGUGAGACAGUUCGGUCCCUAUCUGCCGUGGGCGCUGGAGAACUGAGGGGGGCUGCUCCUAGUACGAGAGGACCGGAGUGGACGCAUCACUGGUGUUCGGGUUGUCAUGCCAAUGGCACUGCCCGGUAGCUAAAUGCGGAAGAGAUAAGUGCUGAAAGCAUCUAAGCACGAAACUUGCCCCGAGAUGAGUUCUCCCUGACUCCUUGAGAGUCCUGAAGGAACGUUGAAGACGACGACGUUGAUAGGCCGGGUGUGUAAGCGCAGCGAUGCGUUGAGCUAACCGGUACUAAUGAACCGUGAGGCUUAACCUUACAACGCCGAAGRUGUU